CCUACGGGGCGCAGCAGUGGGGAAUAUUGCACAAUGGGGGAAACCCUGAUGCAGCGACGCCGCGUGAGUGAAGAAGUAUCUCGGUACGUAAAGCUCUAUCAGCAGGAAAGAAAAUGACGGUACCUGACUAAGAAGCCCCGGCUAACUACGUGCCAGCAGCCGCGGUAAUACGUAGGGGGCAAGCGUUAUCCGGAUUUACUGGGUGUAAAGGGAGCGUAGACGGCUGUGCAAGUCUGAAGUGAAAGCCCGUGGCUCAACCGCGGAACUGCUUUGGAAACUGUAUAGCUGGAGUACUGGAGAGGCAGGCGGAAUUCCUAGUGUAGCGGUGAAAUGCGUAGAUAUUAGGAGGAACACCAGUGGCGAAGGCGGCCUGCUGGACAGAAACUGACGUUGAGGCUCGAAAGCGUGGGGAGCAAACAGGAUUAGAUACCCGGGUAGUC
rnacentral:rRNA from 1 species